UUAUUGGCCGAGGGAGCCGGCGUACAGCUUCCGGGUCAUAUGGCCAGCGUGACUAAGCCACUUCUGGCGAACCAGAGCAGCGCACGGAAACGCCAUUUACCUUCCCGCCGGAGCGACACCUAUUUAUCUACUUGCACUCUGAUGUGCUUUCAAACUGCUAGGUUGGCAGGAGCUGGGACCGAGCAACGGGAGCUCACCUCGUCACGGGGAUUCGAACUGCCGACCUUCUGAUUGGCAAGUCCUAGGCUCUGUGGUUUAAGCCACAGCGCCACCCGCGUCCCUUAACCCGAGGUACCACUGUACUGAUGUUUUGUUUGCACCCCCUAACUUAGCCUACUGCUCUUGACAAUAAUGAACCAUGCUGUCUUGGUCUGGUUGGCUUCUGUACAUGAAAUGGAAUGGGUGCGUCUUAGAAUAGCCCUGUCGAUUAUAUGUCAAACAGUUUUACAAACGAGAGGGUGGUUCCCUCUCCCUGUGGCAAAACAAAACCUUGUUGCAUUCACAAGCUGUGUCGGGAUAUUGAUUUCCUGGCUCUGUAAACAGCUGUUGGAGAAAGAGACUUCCUUCACAUGCCAGGCAUAGUAUGAAUUUAUUGCCAGCCCUUCCUCAUGCCCUAUCUUUUGGCCAGCAGUGUUUCAUUACCUUAGCCCAAAUUCAACAAAGUGAAUCAAGCAGGCGCCUAGUGAACAUUUGGCAUGGAAACUCCCAAUAAAUGUUUCCUUGUAGGGAAGGGCCAUGGCUUGGUGCUACAGCACACACUUAGCAUGCAAAGAGUCAGGUGACUCUCUGAUUCCCUGCCAGAUCAUAGAAAGUCUGGGAAAUUUAUCAUGAUAAUCCUGAAAGGUCACUGUAGCCAGUAAGGUAAAGGACCCCUGGCCGGUUAAGUCCAGUCAAAGGCGACUAUAGGGUUGGGGCACUCAUCUCUCAGACCAAGGGAGCCGGCGAUUGUCCACAGACAGCUUUCCAGGUCAUGUGUCCAGUAUGACUAAACUGCUUCUGGCGCAACGGGACACCGUGACGGAAGCCAGAGCGCAUGGAAACGCCGUUUACCUUCCCGCCGCAGCGGUACCUAUUUAUCUACUUGCACUGGUGUGCUUUUGAACGGCUAGGUUGGCAGAAGCUGGGACAGAGCAACAGGAGCUCACCCCGUCGCGGGGAUUCGAACUGCCAACCUUCUGAUCGGCAAUCCCAAGAGGCUCCGUGGUUUAGACCACAGCACCACCUGCGUUCUGGAUCUGCCACUGCAGCCAAUAAUGGGAUAUAUUCACUAAUGGCCUGACGUGGAAUAAGCUAGCUUCCUGGGCUCCUUUUGUGCUGCAGUACAGUGCACCCUUCUGCUGUAUGGAAACAGCUUACUAAGGGCAGUUCCGCUCCUUUUAGUUGCCACUCAGUUGCUCAAAGCUAAUAGAGUAUAUUGGGGCUUGUUCCCAUAGGAUAGGGCUGGAGAUUUCCUCCUGUCCUUGCUGGUGAAUUUACAUUCUUAUCUUUCCAUAACAAGCUGCCCAUGUGUGCUUUUCUGCACUUAGUUGAUGAAGGGCGUAUGUCAAGGAAAGCUGCCGUAUCUCAUAACCUCCAGAAACAUCUGUUUUCCAACUCACAACACGUAUUGAAGGCUGCAAUUCUAUUACAUUUACCUAGGAAUAAGUGCUAUGGAACCUCAUAAGACUCAAAAGCAUACAAGAUGCGUGACUGUUGUUUUCAAAAUCAGAAGCACUGCUGCUGUAGCUCAGAAGGUCCAGGUUCAAGCCCUGGCAGCUCCAGGGAAGCGCUGGGACUCCUGCCAGAAAUUUUGGAGAGCUGUUGCCAGCCAGCACAGACAGUACUGUGUUAUAUGGAUCAAUGGUCUGGCUCCGUAUAAGGCAGCUUCCGAUGCUGCUAUGCUUUAAAGCUGAUGUAGGGAACUUUUGGUCCUCCAGAUGUUGCUGAACUAUGAUCAUCCCUGGCCAUUGGCUGUGCUUCCUAGGGGCUGAUGUGAAGUGUAGUUCAGCAAUCUCUGGAAGGCCACAAGUUGCCCAUGCCUGCUUUAGAGGAACACCCACCACCACACACUGCAAUGGCAUUUUAAUUUUAUAAUUUUAUUUUUGACAAAGUAAUAAUCAUAAAUAAAUACAGAUAAAAAUGUGCAGCCCACCACUGAGAUCAUUCCAUUGUAACUAUCCAACCUCCCAAAAUUGCGAUGGUUUGACCCCUUUCGGUUUUAACAGUACUAAUUCUGCAAACACCUUCCAUAUCUCCUCAAAAUCAUUUCUCCUGCAUAUCCCCCGUCUUACCUUAAUGGCACAUGUUAAUUUAUCAUUAAUAGGUAUGUCCCACACGUCUUUAUACCAUUAUUCCAUUUUAUAUUCUGCUUGCCCCUUCCACUUUCUAGCUAUCAUGCAGCUGUCAAUAAAUUUGUGAGCAAGUCCUUGAAAGCCUGCGAACCUUCCACCCCAUCAUAAAUUGAUAAUAAUGUUACCUCUGGACUUUUGGUCGGCUACAGUGGCAUUUUAAAACCCAUAUC